rnacentral:rRNA from 1 species
GACGAACGCUGGCGGCGUGCUUAACACAUGCAAGUCGAACGGAAAGGCCCUGCGGUGGGGGGGUGCUCGAAUGGCGAACGGGUGAGGAAGACGUGAGUAACCUGCCCUUGACUUUGGGAUAACUUCAUGAAACUGGGGCUAAUAGCGGAUAGGAGCUCCUGCGGCAUGGUGGGGGUUGGAAAGUUUGGGCGGUUGGGGAUGGACGCGCGGCUGAUCAGCUUGUUGGUGGGGUAGUGGCUUACCAAGGCUUUGACGGGUAGCCGGCCUGAGAGGGUGACCGGCCACAUUGGGACUGAGAUACGGCCCAGACUCCUACGGGAGGCAGCAGUGGGGAAUAUUGCACAAUGGGCGGAAGCCUGAUGCAGCAACGCCGCGUGCGGGAUGACGGCCUUCGGGUUGUAAACCGCUUUCGCCUGUGACGAAGCGUGAGUGACGGUAAUGGGUAAAGAAGCACCGGCUAACUACGUG